UUCCGUGUGGCUCAGUUGGUAGAGCAUGGUGUUUGCAACGCCAGGGUUGUGGGUUCGAUUCCCACGGGGGAAC
rnacentral:tRNA from 1 species